UACGUAGGGGGCAAGCGUUGUCCGGAAUCAUUGGGCGUAAAGAGCGUGUAGGCGGCCCGAUAAGUCCGCUGUGAAAGUCCAGGGCUCAACCCUGGGAUGCCGGUGGAUACUGUCGGGCUCGAGUCCGGAAGAGGAAUGUGGAAUUCCUGGUGUAGCGGUGAAAUGCGCAGAUAUCAGGAGGAAUACCCAUAGCGAAGGCAGCUCGCUGGGACGGUACUGACGCUGAGGCGCGAAAGCGUGGGGAGCAAACAGG
rnacentral:rRNA from 1 species